GUAGUCCACGCCGUAAACGAUGAGCAUUAGGUGCAGCGGAUAUUGACCUCUGCUGUGCCGUAGCUAACGCGUUAAAAUSUCCGCCUGGGGAGUACGGCCGCAAGGCUAAAACUCAAAGGAAUUGACGGGGGCCCGCACAAGCAGUGGAGCAUGUGGUUUAAUUCGAAGCAACGCGCAGAACCUUACCAGGGCUAGACAAACUGAGAAUCCUGAAGAAACUCGGGAGUGCUCGCAAGAGAACUCAGGUCCAGGUGCUGCAUGGCUGUCGUCGGCUCGUGUCGUGAGAUGUUGGGUUAAGUCCCGCAACGAGCGCAACCCUUAUCCUUAGUUGCCAUCAUUUAGUUGGGCACUCAAAGGAGACUGCCGGGGUCAACCCGGAGGAAGGUGGGGAUGACGUCAAGUCCUCAUGGCCCUUAUGUCCUGGGCUACACACGUGCUACAAUGGUUGGUACAAAGCGCUGCGAAGCCGCAAGGUGGAGCGAAUCGCAAAAAGCCAGCCUCAGUACGGAUUGCACUCUGCAACUCGAGUGCAUGAAGUCGGAAUUGCUAGUAAUCGUCGAUCAGCAGGCGACGGUGAAUACGUUCCCGGGCCUUGUACACACCGCCCGUCACACCAUGGAAGUCGAGUGCUCCAGAAGUGGCCACGCUAACCCGCAAGGGAGGCAGGUCCCCAAGGAGUGUUUGGUAACUGGGGUGAAGUCGUAACAAGGUA
rnacentral:rRNA from 1 species